ACAGUCAAAGAAAUUUUGCAAUGCUGUGCUGCUUUGGAUGGUGGUAGUAAUAAUGAAAUGUAUUGAGGGCCAUGGCUACCUGAACUGAUGGCUAUAAAGAUACAAUGCUGUAUGUCUUCACCCUUCUGGAUCAGCAAUGUAUUUGCACUGUGCAGUGGGGGAAAAACAGCCUAAGCAGAGCCAGCUUUGGGGCUCUAAAGCCACAACAUACAAUGUAGGCAAUUCCCAGUGCUUGUCCCAGUGGAGUACUGCUAUUUAUGCAACAUGAAGUAUCUUACCAAAAUUGAUGGACCAGGUGUGCCUAAAUGACAGCCGAUUGAUAGCAGGUGCUGCCCCACACUUUUUAAAUAGAAAAAAGGCUCACUGGAGUUGUGACUGGGAAGGAAUAUGUCUGGGAAGAGAGCUGAGUCCACCUCAGAAGCAGAGAGAUACAGAUAAUGACUCUCCUUCCAGAACUGGAGAGAGACAGAACAGUGUGGGACCCAAGGUAACCUGGGCAGCGAUGGCUGCUUCCCUAUCCCAUGAUGAACUACAGUCCUCAGUAAAGCAAAACAUCCUGACAAUUUGUUUUCUGGGCCACUGGCUUCGUGUUACUAUUCAUGUCCUAGAACUGUUUUUCAGGAGAAUUGUGAAAGAAAUGUGAUGAAAAUGUGUCCUAGUGACUGUAUCUGUGGUGGCAAACCAGGACUGGAAGGCUGGGCUUGUUCAGCACAGAAAAGGGAUGGCCUUGUGAGGACCUAACAGCAGGCUGUCCGCACAUACCAAGCAGAUGAGUCCCAGCUCUUUGUGGUAGGAGGAUGAGAGAUGGGCAGAAUCUGAAAUGAGAGGUUCAGAUGGGAUAUAAGGAAAAAUAGACCCUGCCGUGAGGACCCUGCAGCAGCUGCGCAAGCUCCAGCCUUGGUGGGCUUCAAGACCUGACUGGAUCAAGCCCUGAGCAACUUGAUCAGAUACCAUGACCGACCCUGCACUGAGCAGGAGUUACACUAGAUACCUCCUGAGGUCCCUUACAAGCUGAAUUCCCUUGUCAUCUUAUUAGUCACAGGCCUUCCUCUGAGGACAACAUGAGGCACCUGGCUUGCUAGCCUGUGGGGUUCAGUUUCCAUGGUUCGUGAGGGAGUCCAUGUGGCCCCCUCUGGGAAAUCACACUGCCUAGGCUGCGUAGUGUGGCCUCCCAGCACAAUGCUGCCUGUUGUACCACCAGUGUGGGGUUGGGCAGCAGCAGGGCGGCCAUGUUGCUGCCGCGGCACCUGAGGAGGCCUGAGGUGGCUUGGGGAGGUGAGCCCCUGUAAGUCAGGUGGGGACAGCUGGUUACCAAAGGGUGCUUAAAAAUGUAGAGGCGUGUGGUGACAUUUGUACCUAUCUAGUUUUGUGGUCUCUGUCGUGUUGUCGAUAUCGACCCUGGAACAUAUAUUUCUCUGCUUCCCGCUUAAUUACAUGUAACUAAUAAACCAGUAA